CCUACGGGUGGCAGCAGUGAGGAAUAUUGGUCAAUGGACGAGAGUCUGAACCAGCCAAGUAGCGUGAAGGAUGACUGCCCUAUGGGUUGUAAACUUCUUUUAUAUGGGAAUAAAACAGGGUAUGUAUACACUUUUGUAUGUUCUUUAUGAAUAAGGAUCGGCUAACUCCGUGCCAGCAGCCGCGGUAAUACGGAGGAUCCGAGCGUUAUCCGGAUUUAUUGGGUUUAAAGGGAGCGUAGAUGGAUUGUUAAGUCAGUUGUGAAAGUUUGCGGCUCAACCGUAAAAUUGCAGUUGAGACUGGCAGUCUUGAGUACAGUAGAGGUAGGCGGAAUUCGUGGUGUAGCGGUGAAAUGCUUAGAUAUCACGAAGAACUCCGAUUGCGAAGGCAGCUCACUAAACUGCAACUGACACUGAUGCUCGAAAGUGUGGGUAUCAAACAGGAUUAGAUACCCUGGUAGUC
rnacentral:rRNA from 1 species